rnacentral:rRNA from 1 species
CCGGAGCUUGCUCCACCGGGAAAAGAGGAGUGGCGAACGGGUGAGUAACACGUGGGUAACCUGCCCAUCAGAAGGGGAUAACACUUGGAAACAGGUGCUAAUACCGUAUAACAAUCGAAACCGCAUGGUUUCGUUUUGAAAGGCGCUUUACGGUGCCGCUGAUGGAUGGACCCGCGGUGCAUUAGCUAGUUGGUGAGGUAACGGCUCACCAAGGCCACGAUGCAUAGCCGACCUGAGAGGGUGAUCGGCCACAUUGGGACUGAGACACGGCCCAAACUCCUACGGGAGGCAGCAGUAGGGAAUCUUCGGCAAUGGACGAAAGUCUGACCGAGCAACGCCGCGUGAGUGAAGAAGGUUUUCGGAUCGUAAAACUCUGUUGUUAGAGAAGAACAAGGGUGAGAGUAACUGUUCACCCCUUGACGGUAUCUAACCAGAAAGCCACGGCUAACUACGUGCCAGCAGCCGCGGUAAUACGUAGGUGGCAAGCGUUGUCCGGAUUUAUUGGGCGUAAAGCGAGCGCAGGCGGUUUCUUAAGUCUGAUGUGAAAGCCCCCGGCUCAACCGGGGAGGGUCAUUGGAAACUGGGAGACUUGAGUGCAGAAGAGGAGAGUGGAAUUCCAUGUGUAGCGGUGAAAUGCGUAGAUAUAUGGAGGAACACCAGUGGCGAAGGCGGCUCUCUGGUCUGUAACUGACGCUGAGGCUCGAAAGCGUGGGGAGCAAACAGGAUUAGAUACCCUGGUAGUCCACGCCGUAAACGAUGAGUGCUAAGUGUUGGAGGGUUUCCGCCCUUCAGUGCUGCAGCUAACGCAUUAAGCACUCCGCCUGGGGAGUACGACCGCAAGGUUGAAACUCAAAGGAAUUGACGGGGGCCCGCACAAGCGGUGGAGCAUGUGGUUUAAUUCGAAGCAACGCGAAGAACCUUACCAGGUCUUGACAUCCUUUGACCACUCUAGAGAUAGAGCUUCCCCUUCGGGGGCAAAGUGACAGGUGGUGCAUGGUUGUCGUCAGCUCGUGUCGUGAGAUGUUGGGUUAAGUCCCGCAACGAGCGCAACCCUUAUUGUUAGUUGCCAUCAUUUAGUUGGGCACUCUAGCAAGACUGCCGGUGACAAACCGGAGGAAGGUGGGGAUGACGUCAAAUCAUCAUGCCCCUUAUGACCUGGGCUACACACGUGCUACAAUGGGAAGUACAACGAGUCGCGAAGUCGCGAGGCUAAGCUAAUCUCUUAAAGCUUCUCUCAGUUCGGAUUGUAGGCUGCAACUCGCCUACAUGAAGCCGGAAUCGCUAGUAAUCGCGGAUCAGCACCGCCGCGGUGAAUACGUUCCCGGGGCCUUGUACACACCGCCCGUCACACCACGGAGAGUUUGUAACACCCGAAGUCGGUGAGGUAACCUUUUUGGAGCCAGCCGCCUAAG